UUGUAUUUUUCCUCCCCAUUAUUUUCCUCCCAAAUUUUAUUUCCUCCCCAUUUUUCCCCUAUCCAAACAGGGUGUAAUUUAGGGUUAUGUAGAAGCUGCUAUAUAACUAGGAGUUUCUGCAGUCUUAUUUUCCUACCAAUCUCAAUGCCUCUGAGCAGCUCUGGUUAGUAAAAACUCUGUAGCCCAAUAAUCUUUAGAUUCUUCAGAAAUCGAAGAAGUGACCUUUCUUAUUAACAGAGAUUAGCUGGGUCUUUUCUUAAUGGCUCUGAAUCCGAGUCAACAGCAGGCGCCGAUCGAUGGCGACCCGUCUGCCGCGUAGAGCCAAAAUUGAAUCUCUUUGGCCGGAUGAAGAUCCUUGAAACUCACCGUUGUUUCAUGUCACAAUAAUCCGGCCACAACCUUCUUUUCUUUUACCCUUUUGUCAGUGUUCUAUGAUUUCAAUCUGAUCUUCUAUCUAUGAACUUGCAGAUCUAUAGAGCUUGAUUAUAUAGCCUUUUUGAUUUGUGAGAUGGCACUCAGUCAGACACGGGUGUUUGAUGAAAUAUAAUGGCAAUUCACCUUUUGCAUAGUGCCUAUAUAGAGCUACUUUUCACGAUUGGAGGAGCGAUUCUGCUAAUUGCUUCCUUCAAAUUUUGAGCAGCUAAAUUCUUUAACUAUUCAAUUGAUCUGAUACAACCAAAUUGGCUAUAAGUUAAGUUUUAUUAGAUGCUUGCUAAAUUAUUUUUGAUUGAAAGUGCAGGAUGCAAUUCCCUUUUUGGCAGAAGUUUGGCUUUGAUAUUUUGCUUUGGGAAACAUCUUUUCUUGUGAAGCUCUGUAUGGCAAUACCUAAUUUGGGUUGUAAACAAUUUUAACUUAAGUAGGAAUGAACUUCUGUUUUUUUUAAAAAAAAAAAAAAAUUCUGAUUCUUUGUUCUCAAAUUCAA